AGGUCUGAGCUCUCAUUUCCACCAUCUGGGUCUUGCACAUUUUCAUUUUCACGAUCUGGGUCUUGCACGUUUUCAUCAUUGGACUCACUUUGUGAACUGGGUUCUUGGGUUGGUGGUGUUAUAGAGGUGGAUUGGAGCAAAGAAGAAGGUGGGUCUAGUAUUGGUGCAGAGUUGGAUUGGGACAAAGAGAUGAGGGUAUUGUUAGUUGAAGAAGAAGAAAAUGGGAUUUGGGUAAAGUGAUUCUUGUAGAGGAAGAGAGAGGGCUCAAGGGCUCGUUUGGUGAAGACGAAAACGGUGAAGAGGAAGAAGGUGAUGAAUAUGAUAACGAUGAAGGCGUAACGGCUCUUUUGGGGGGAUGAAUUACUGGGUGUUGCUACUGCCAUUUGCUAAUCGCUCAUUGCUUCGGUUUUUCCGUUGCUAAUUACAACAAAAGGGAAAGAGUGAGACUGGUUAGAGU
rnacentral:lncRNA from 1 species